rnacentral:rRNA from 1 species
UGGGGAAUAUUGGGCAAUGGGGGAAACCCUGACCCAGCGACGCCGCGUGGGUGAUGAAGGCCUUCGGGUCGUAAAGCCUUGUCAAGAGGAAAGAAUGUUCUCGAAGCAAAUAGUUUCGAGAAGUGACGGUACCUCUGAAGGAAGCACCGGCCAACUCCGUGCCAGCAGCCGCGGUAAGACGGAGGGUGCGAGCGUUGCUCGGAAUCAUUGGGCGUAAAGGGUGCGUAGGCGGUCUUUUAAGUCUGACGUGAAAGCCCAGGGCUCAGCCUUGGAAGUGCGACAGAAACUGGAAGACUAGAGUGCCGGAGGGGAGAGUGGAAUUCCUGGUGUAGCGGUGAAAUGCGUAGAUAUCAGGAGGAAUACCGGUGGCGAAAGCGACUCUCUGGACGGCAACUGACGCUGAGGCACGAAAGCGUGGGGAGCAAACAGGAUUAGAUAC